AGAGUUUGAUCAUGGCUCAGAUUGAACGCUGGCGGCGUGCCUAACACAUGCAAGUCGAGCGGUAACGCGGGAGCAAUCCUGGCGACGAGCGGCGAACGGGUGAGCAAUGCUUCGGAAUCUACCUUCUAGUGGGGAAUAACCAACCGAAAGGUUGGCUAAUGCCGCAUACGCCCUUUGGGGGAAAGCGGGGGAUCGCAAGA
rnacentral:rRNA from 1 species